CCUACGGGAGGCAGCAGUGGGGAAUAUUGCACAAUGGGGGAAACCCUGAUGCAGCAACGCCGCGUGAGUGAAGAAGUAUUUCGGUAUGUAAAGCUCUAUCAGCAGGGAAGAAAAUGACAGUACCUGACUAAGAAGUCCCGGCUAACUACGUGCCAGCAGCCGCGGUAAUACGUAGGGGGCAAGCGUUAUCCGGAUUUACUGGGUGUAAAGGGAGCGUAGACGGCUGCGCAAGUCAGAAGUGAAAGCCCGGGGCGCAACCGCGGGACUGCUUUUGAAACUGUGUAGCUAGAGUGCAGGAGAGGUAAGUGGAAUUCCUAGUGUAGCGGUGAAAUGCGUAGAUAUUAGGAGGAACACCGGUGGCGAAGGCGGCUUACUGGACUGUAACUGACGCUGAGGCUCGAAGGUGCGGGUAUCAAACAGGAUUAGAUACCCCUGUAGUC
rnacentral:rRNA from 1 species